rnacentral:rRNA from 1 species
AUGCGAUAAGUAGUGUGAAUUGCAGAAUUCCGUGAAUCAUCGAGUUCUUGAACGCAUAUUGCGUCCCUUGGCAUUCCAAGGGGCAUGCCUGUCCGAGUGUCAUUGAAAACUUUCAGGUUUUGGAUUUAUCCACUUUCUGGUUUUGAGUUCGGAGCACUCUCGAUGUUCCAAUUCCAAAUGAAAUGGCGCAAAUGGUGGUUGUCGGUUCCGUGUAAUAAGUAUUAUCCUUCACAAGUCGAUACAUCAUUUGUCGCUCUACUUUUAAUGACGCUCCUGCUUAUGACCUCGGAUCAGGUAGGGAUACCCGCUGAACUUAA